GCGACGCCGCGUGAGUGUGAAGGAUUUCGGGAUGUAAAGCUCUUUCUCAGGGAAGAAAAUGACGGUACCUGACUAGGAAGCGCCGGCUAACUACCUGCCCGCCGCCCCGUAACGUGCCAAGCCGCCGCGGUAAU
rnacentral:rRNA from 1 species